UACGUAGGUGGCAAGCGUUAUCCGGAAUUAUUGGGCGUAAAGAGUGAGCAGGCGGUUUAUAAAGUUCGGAGUUAAAUACAGUUGCUUAACGACUGUUAGCUUUGAAAACUAAUAGACUAGAGUGCAGUAGAGGUUAGCGGAAUUCCAUGUGUAGCGGUGAAAUGCGUAGAUAUAUGGAGGAACAUCAGUGGCGAAGGCGGCUAACUGGGCUGUAACUGACGCUCAUUCACGAAAGCGUGGGGAGCAAAUAGG
rnacentral:rRNA from 1 species